rnacentral:rRNA from 1 species
GACGAACGCUGGCGGCAUGCUUAACACAUGCAAGUCGAACGGGAAGGCCCUGCUUUGUGGGGGUGCGCGAGUGGCGAACGGGUGAGUAACACGUGAGUUACCAGCCCUUGACUGUGGGAUAACUUCAGGAAACUUGGUGUAAUACCGGCUAGGAGCUCCCGCUGCAUGGUGGGGGUGGGAUAGUUUCGGCGGUUGGUGAUGGACUCGCGGCUUAUCAGCUUGUUGGUGGGGUAGUGGAUUACCAAGGCUUUGACGGGUAGCAGGCCUGAGAGGGUGACCGGCUCAAUCGGGCUGGAGAUACGGCACAGACCCCUACGGGAGGCAGCACUGGAGUAUAGAGUACAGUGGGAUGAAGGAUGAUGUAGUCCAGCAGCGCCCGGGAUGACGGCAUUCGGGUUGUAAUCCGCUUCCGCCUGUGACGGAGUGUGAGUGACGGUAAUGGGUAAAGAAGCACCGGCUAACUCCGUG